GCAAACUUGGUCAUUUAGAGGAAGUAAAAGUCGUAACAAGGUUUCCGUAGGUGAACCUGCGGAAGGAUCAUUACAAAUCCACACGUCUCUCUCACCCGAGACAACGUUGAAACGUUCCCGGUGGUCGGUCAGCGCUGCUGCCGCCACCAACCCCCUUUCUUCCAUCCAGUGUGCUUUGUUGCUUUCAUUUGUAGCCUGUUCUCGCUCGCUCGCCACGCGCGUGCGCAGCAAGGCAGACGACAACACGAACACGAACAAACACAACUUAUAACAAUGGAUCUCUAGGCUCUUGCAUCGAUGAAGAACGCAGC
rnacentral:misc_RNA from 1 species